rnacentral:rRNA from 1 species
GGACGAACGCUGGCGGCGUGCUUAACACAUGCAAGUCGAGCGGUAAGGCCCUUUCGGGGGUACACGAGCGGCGAACGGGUGAGUAACACGUGGGUGACCUGCCCUCAGCUCUGGGAUAAGCCUGGGAAACUGGGUCUAAUACUGGAUAUGACUCCACGGUGCAUGUCGUGGGGUGGAAAGCCUUGUGCGGCUGAGGAUGGGCCCGCGGCCUAUCAGCUUGUUGGUGGGGUGANGGCCUACCAAGGCGACGACGGGUAGCCGGCCUGAGAGGGCGACCGGCCACACUGGGACUGAGACACGGCCCAGACUCCUACGGGAGGCAGCAGUGGGGAAUCUUGCGCAAUGGGCGAAAGCCUGACGCAGCGACGCCGCGUGAGGGAUGACGGCCUGG